CGUGUGCUCAGAGACGUCUCUCUCUCUGUUCUCUUGCUAUUGGCCCGGGUUGGCUCUGAGCUCUUUGGCCUGCUGCAGGUGAGGUAUGACCCGGCCCUGCUGACUCACUGCGGGAAGAUCAGACUCAUACUGGCAGCUGCGAAGGGUCUCUUAAUAAGCGCCGGUGGAGAAUGGGGGAGUUUUCUUGCAGUGUUUGUUGAAGAGGAAAUUGGUUGCUUAAUGCAGGGACGACAGAAAGGGUUCGAAGCGGGAUUCCAGCACAGAACUCACCAUCUACAGAGCCACGAUUGCUCUGGCAGGCAUCAGCAUCAUCCUCUUAGUUACCACCCUCCUGCUGCGCAGACACACAGACACCCAACACCAGCAGCCGGCAAAGGUGAGACCAUGAAAAUUGGAGCCUGAGUUUAACUGGGUGGCAUUGUGAGUUUCAAGACAGUGCUG